rfam:Mus musculus chromosome 19, GRC primary reference assembly.
AAAAAGGCUCUUUAGGAGCCAUCAAUAAAGCCUAGAUUAUUUUUU